rnacentral:misc_RNA from 1 species
CCGAGUGAGGGCCCUCUGGGUCCAACCUCCCACCCGUGUUUUCCGAACCCUGUUGCUUCGGCGGGCCCGCCUCACGGCCGCCGGGGGGCUUCUGCCCCCGGGCCCGCGCCCGCCGAAGACACCUGUGAACGCUGUCUGAAGUUGCAGUCUGAGAAACUAGCUAAAUUAGUUA